rnacentral:rRNA from 1 species
UACGAAGGGGGCUAGCGUUGCUCGGAAUCACUGGGCGUAAAGCGCACGUAGGCGGCUUGUUAAGUCAGGGGUGAAAUCCUGGAGCUCAACUCCAGAACUGCCUUUGAUACUGGCGAGCUUGAGUCCGGGAGAGGUGAGUGGAACUGCGAGUGUAGAGGUGAAAAUUCGUAGAUAUUCGCAAGAACACCAGUGGCGAAGGCGGCUCACUGGCCCGGUACUGACGCUGAGGUGCGAAAGCGUGGGAGCAACAGGGAGUUAAGAA